rnacentral:tRNA from 1 species
UUUUCCUUAAAUAUACCUUCCUCUAUUGAAUGAUUACAAAAUUUACCUCCUGCAGAACAUUCUUAUAAUGAACUUCCUAUCUUAAGAAAUUUCUAAUAUGGCAGAUUAUAUGUAAUGGAUUUAAACCCCAUUUAUAAAGGAUUUAUCCUUUUUUUAGAA